rnacentral:rRNA from 1 species
AUGCAUGAGCUACGCUGGAGGAAGUUCUCUUCAUUCGGCAUUUUGAAAUCUUCUAUCAUCACUUUGCUGCCUAAGAAGGAGACUUCCCUAGAGGUGGCGGAUUUCAGACCAAUUAACUUGAUCCACGGUGUAGCUAAAAUUUUCACCAAGGUGUUGGCUGUUCGGCUCGCCCCUCUUCUGCCGACCCUGAUUUCUCAAGUCCAAAGCUCCUUCAUAAGUCGCGUGAGUAUGCAUGAGAACUUCAAGUUAGAGCGUAAUGCGGCUAGAGAGUUGCAUAGAAAGAAAGUAUCCUCUGUUCUUAUGAAGAUUGAUAUCUCCAAGUCAUUCAACACCCCAUCCCGGGAGUUCAUUAUUCAAGUCCUGAAGAGACGAGGGUUCGGGAACCUUUGGUGCUCUUGGAUUUGUGGGCUCCUCCGCACAGCUUCCUCUUCGGUGUUGAUUAAUGGGGAGACCAAUGAACCCUUCGUGCUGGGUCGCGGAGUGAGACAGGGGGACUCCUUGUCACCAGCCCUGUUCAUCUUAGCCAUGGAUGUCCUGCAAGCUAUGAUCAGUUGGGUGGUGCAGAACCAUCUUAUUUCUAGUCUGGGUUUCAAGGACAGGGUACCAAGGGCCUCGUUUUUUGCAGAUGAUGCGGUGCUUUUCUUCAGAAAUAAUUCCAGCGAUAUGCAUGUGAUUGCGGCCACGCUGAAACUUUUUGGCGAAGCUUCGGGACUGCGCAUAACCUCCAGAAGUGUAUGGUUACCUGCAUCAGAUGUGAGGAUCACUUCUAGGAGGUCGUGGCUCAAUUUUUUGGUUGCCAAUCCAAAACCUUCCCGCUCCAGUAUCUAG